rnacentral:rRNA from 1 species
UGCGCCCUACGGGGGGCAGCAGUGGGGAAUAUUGGGCAAUGGGCGCAAGCCUGACCCAGCAACGCCGCGUGAAGGAAGAAGGCUUUCGGGUUGUAAACUUCUUUUAUUCGGGACGAAGGAAGUGACGGUACCGAAUGAAUAAGCCACGGCUAACUACGUGCCAGCAGCCGCGGUAAUACGUAGGUGGCAAGCGUUAUCCGGAUUUAUUGGGUGUAAAGGGCGUGUAGGCGGGAAUGCAAGUCAGAUGUGAAAACCCAGGGCUCAACCCUGAGCCUGCAUUUGAAACUGUAUUUCUUGAGUGCUGG